GGUUAGUAACGGAAAUCUAUGGAACAGUUCACCCUGCCCAGGAUAGGGUACGUUGGUCCCACCCUGGAGCCAGCCCUGGGGAGGGUGACCGAGGGUGAGCACCAGCUAGCCGGGCCUUAGUCAAUGGGGCCAGGCUUUGCACCACCCAAACAGGGGACAUGGGCCCAUCCUCCUGUAGGCCCACCACCCCCAGAAGGUGCCUUGGAGGUCAGGUGCAGUGUUUGCCAGGUGGCAGACAAGGGUAGAGACCCUGGUGGACUGAUCCCCAUCUACACAGGAACAUCACCUCUCUGAAUCAAAAACAAUUACUUUUACCUUUUUACACUUUUUACAGAGAAUUGAGAAACUUGGUUUAUUAAAAAUAGGAAGAGGAUAAUUCUUGAAAAUCCCAGGGAUUUAGGUAUUCAGGCUCUGGUAAAUACGUCUGUGGUUUAACCAUGGUGCUGACAGAGUUAGAAAAAAGAAAAAAGAGUAAAUAUUUGACACAACUGUGUAGCCUUGGACAGGUCACUGCAUGAGAA